AUACAAAUAAGCUGCUUCUGAAGAAUAAACUCACUGUACAUUGCAUUAAACUGAACCUUUUUCUAAAAAAUCUGUCGAUACACGGAAUACUGAAUUGAUUUAAAUAAAUAAAUGGCAGCGUUUUACACAAAUUUUUCAUUAUUAAAAGUUUUCUUAUUCUUAUUUUCGUUAUUGCACAAAUGGCAAUACAAGUGAAGCCAUACAAAUAGCCUGAAGAUAACGCCAGCACAGCAUAUACAAUAUUACACGUAUCUUAAACUAUAUAACACCUUUAGAAUAUCUUUAAAAUAUGAAUCGGGAUAACCUAUCCCGGCCCCUGACGUCAGGACGCAAUCAUUCACGUAGUAAAAUGUGGAGGGCUCGGGCGAACACAAUUUCAACAUCUCCUGAGGCAACGGCGAAUCGUAAGGCAGCCCUUCCUUCGUGCUUCGAGACGGAAUACGAGCGUGUUCGCAGCAAUAGACGAGGAAGCAAGAUUUAAUAAGAAAAUGAUCUCAAUCAGUGCACGAAAACGCGGUGAAAAUGACCGGAGACGUAUCUACUUAACCUCACGCAAGGCAACGUGACCCAGAACCUACAGUUUUCCAGUAUCCGUCUUGAAUUUUUGCCUCCCGAGCACAGAAGCGUCAGAACUGUUUUCCAAGCACCUUCACCUGCCUCUUGGAUUCGCCUUUAUUUUAUUUAACAGAUGGAAGAAAAUCCCAUUUCCCAUUUCUUUCUCUUUCAUUCUCAUUUUCUAUUCCCUCUCGCACACAGGCAUGGUCCGCGUUAUUUUGAAAAGAUAACCGGCUCGAUUGGUAUCAUUUCAUUUUUGUUGUCGCUGUGUCUCAAAGCUUCAGAGUGUGCAGUUGACCCAAGUAAUACUUUAGGUAACGAGGCUCAGAUUUGGGGGAAGAUGCUUGUUCCGGCCCGCUUUCAUCUUCUCGUCUGUGCUACAUUUUAGGUUAGAAUAAUUCCAUCACAAGCCCUUGGAAGGGUGCCAUCAUGCCUGUUAAAUACCCACCAUAUCCUACUUUGUAAGAAGAAAAAGUAAACGCGAAGCGCUGGGAGACGAAUGGACGCGUCCAUGGUAUAUACUGACUAAAUCUGGUGUUUAUAUAUAGAAUGUUUAAUGAAAAAUUAGAUUAAAGUUGGAUCUUUCCGAGAAAUGCAUCGCUAUAGCAAUAGCCGUAGCAAUCCUUGCUGUGAUGUAGCGUAUUGAGCUGUGACACUUGGGCAUGGGCACAUGCUUUGUUGUUUUCGUGUUGAGAUUUUUUUUUUCAGUAAUGGGGGCUGGUCCCAAGUCAUUUCAUGUUCGUUUUUAGUCUUUGAAGAAUUAAUAGCGCUACUCUCUCUCUCUCUCCCCCUCCCUCUCUCUCUCUCUCUCUCUCUCUCUCUUCCUCUCUCUCUCUCUCUCUCUCUCUCUCUCUCUCCCUCUUCCUGUGUACGUCUAUCGCUUAAGUCGGCCGAAGUGAUUCAGGAUAAAUACAAGGCGUAACUAAGAAAAAAAACCUUCACGCAGAGUUGUAACAAUAGCAGAGUUCACAAUGGACAAUGAAUAGGGGAGUAGCACCACUGUUUGGGUUUCUGUACACGUUCACAACAGCCGGUCCAGUGGAGAGGACUGAAACGGACUUCAACAGAUUCUCUCCGUGCCUGUGAGAAAAUCUGGUGUGAGAAUGGAUGCUAACAGAAAACGGGGGAGAGUUCUGUCUCAAAACUUUAUCUGUCACGAGCCACUCAAGCACGAGUAAUGACGGUGUUUGAAAUACUUUGCUCCGGAUGGGAUGAACUAACAAUAUUACUUUUGCUUCCAUACAAUGAGCUUCGAUUAAAGAGAAACUGACAUUUUUAGAACUUCGUCGCCGCUUAAACGCGCUCACAUUUAUGCUAUACCGAGGAGUAUUUCGUUUUUUUUAUUUUUUUGUAAAUAUGUUUUUCAUUUGUUGAAAUGGGCGUAUCUGUUAGGCCUGUCAUGAUGGAUUAUCCCUAAAGGCCUUUGCAUGCAACAGGUGCUGAGAGAGAAGGCCGCUGUUUUAUGCGAAAGAGGGAGCUGUGGAGUACAGGCAGACUGAAGCCAUCUGAAGACUCCUCUCCAUGUGAGGCCUGGCAGUGGGUGCAGUUGUGCCCCCAACCCCCUGAAGACCCUCUCCAUGUGAGGCCUGGCAGUGGGUGGAGUGUCCCCCAACCCCUGAAGACCCCUCUCCAUGUGAGGCCUGGCAGUGGGUGCAGUGUGCCCCCCAACCCCCUGAAGACUCCUCUCCAUGUGAGGCCUGGCAGUGGGUGCAGUGUGCCCCCCAACCCCCUGAAGACCCCUCUCCAUGUGAGGCCUGGCAGUGGGUGGAGUGUCCCCCCAACCCCCUGAAGACCCCUCUCCAUGUGAGGCCUGGCAGUGGGUGGAGUGUCCCCCCAACCCCCUGAAGACCCCUCUCCACGUGAGGCCUGGCAGAGGUUGCCCCCCUCAGCUACCUUUGAGAUCACCACGGUGGACAGGAGCAGGCGCAGAGAGAGAAGCAGAGGCGUGGGAGGAGGACGAAGAGGAGGAGGAGGAGGAGGAGGAGAGGAUGGGGCCCGGUUGGAAGAGUGAACUCGGAGCUGGGCGAGCGCGGAUGGCCACGGGCUCUCCAGCUCCCCCCCCCCCCUCCGCCCCCCUCCCUCCCCGACUGUGGGUCUCGGUGAGCCGGGUCCGGGGCCAAGGCAGGGAGGCGCGGAGUGGGCCGGCGAGGCGGGCCGCCAUCCCCGCCGGCUUCCCGAGCGGCGGGAGAAAUCGAUCCGGAGGAGGGAGGCGGCCAGGGGUCGCCCGGCGCGGCCCUGCGGCCCUGGAGCCCAGGGACCCGCGGCUCGCGGCUCUUCCUCCAGCCGGCCCCUGCCUGCGCGCACCGGGCCGCUUCCCGCAUGCGUGUGGUUCGGCCCGGGGGGGCGCGGGGGGGGGGCGCUUCACGGCCCCGCACCGAACCCAUGAAAGUUUGCCAGAAAAUGAAUAAAAAGGAGAGGCAAAGGUCCCUGUUUUGUUUCCCCCCCCUCCACCGAUUACGCAUCCCCCCGGACUGUUCGAAUGAGAAUUCGGUACAGGGCUCUUUGACAUCCGAGCGAGCUGCCUCCUUACUCUCCUGCCCUCCUCCAAGCGUGUAUCACAAGCACUGCGUCGGAUGAGUCAGACUGCCAGGACUUUUAAAAAAUGGUAAUAGUGAUCUUUCUGAGAGAACAAGGCCCUGAUUUGCAUUUCACCUGCAACGUGCCAUCGCUGACAUCUGGCAUUGUUGCCUGGAUACGUUCAGAAUGUUAUUGACUGUUUUCUUUGAGGCAAAAUCAUGUAUCUUUCAUAAUAGUGGAUUUCAGGUUGUGAAGCGCGUUCCAAGGCCAUUUCCAAAAAAGAAAACAGAAAACACAACAAACCAAAAGUUUUUUUUUUUUUUUGAAAAAGUAAAACCAAAAAAAGGAAACAAAUGGACUAUAACUCUGCCCAAUCGUUACAAUCUUCACCUUCUAAAGGCAUCAGGCAAACUUGACUUUUCUUCUUUAAUCCAUGUUCUCUAACUUUCGGUCAAUCGAAACGCUGUAAAAAAAACUCCCAUGCGCUGUAGUACUGCGCGCAUGCAAAAACAAUGGUGUGGAGCUGGACGUGCGUUUCAGAAAACUGACCGGAACCAGCUGACGUCAGACUGCGCCUGAGUGCACCAUCCGUUUGACUGGACCCGAGGGCCGGGGCGACGGUGGCGUUUGCUGGAGAGAACGCGCCGUCCUCGCAGUUUCUCACGCCGCGGAAAGCACUUCCUGAGGGAUUCGGGGAGGGCGAGCUCGGGCUGGCAGCGGAACGGCCUGGCCAGCGAGGAGACGCUCCAGACACAGCGAGAGGACGCACAGCUGACACGGAGCAGUUUUGGGGCUGGCCACACAUGAAACCAGGAAGGUGGGAGUCACCAGGACAGUGGCAGACUAAACCCACCACCAAAAAAAAAGAACAAGCCUUACCCCGUCCCACCCCGAACGUGCCAAGAAACAACCCUUCACUGUUCUGAAUUCCGGGCCUGUCGGUGGGUUCAAUCCAGAAAGAGCUUUGUCUCUGAACUUAUAUAUCUGAGGAGACCAGAGGAAGCUGUUGUAUGCGGAAAGACCAGAAAUAUGCAUAUUGAGAUUGAAUAUUAUUUUAAUAUCCUACUGACUACUGUACAAAACUGGGAGCAUAUUUUGGGCACAGGUAAGUGAGUGAACUUGCAGAGCAAAAAGUAGGUAAGUAUUUAAACAGUUGUGUAUAUCCAUUCAACAAUUUAAUAUUUCUGUAUCCUCGAGCAUUGUAACAAAAUAAUCCACAAGCAUGACUUGCGCACACUUUUCAGGAGAGUGGCAGCGAAUAUGUAGAGAAGAUUUAAAUGAUCCCCAGACUGAACAGACCGAUAAUAUCAAACCAGGAUUAACAGACAGCAGCUGCUGAUUUCCUACAUUAGCAGCAAGAGAAGACUCCUUUAUUUUGACACUGGCAUAUUCAUGGACAGCCCUUUGCCAUUCCCAAGGGGUCCUGCAUAUCUGUAAGUGAUGCUUAGCAGCACAGAAAGUCACUCUGCUGUGUCUCUCAUCAGGACACUUGGGAGAUUAAUGAAAGCUCAAAGUGAAUUUAUUUAUUUGCUUAUGUUUUUGUAAUCAUUCAUAUGUAGUCAAAUCGCUGAGUAUAGUAUUAUAAGAUUAUCAGUGGCUACUGGGGCUGUGCAAAGGGGGUAUUAUACUUAUAAAGCCAAUAGUCCUCGAAUGAGAAAAUGCAUUGACACGUGUCUUCAUCUUGUGUGAGUUUUAAAUAAAAUAUUUAAGAUUAA